GUGAGUGAGAUGGCUCAUUUGAUGUUCGAUAUCUGGAUGAUGUAGAAAAGCGUUAGUAGAGGUCUGAGUUUUAGAAUUUUAUGCUAAUUUUGAAGCAAUAAUGUGAAAAACGUUAGGCUUGAUAUCUACACGCUUGGAUUCGAGCUUGAGAUUGAAUUUCUAGGUGAAAUCGAACAGAAUAGAGGAACAACGGAUAUACAUUGUAGGUCAAGGCAAUAAGAGUUUUUAUUUUUUUUUUAUUUUUCAGAUUUGAUUAGACGAUGAGGGGUUUGAACAAGGUAGUUAGGUUGAAAGAGUAGAGGAAAGGGAUAUUGUGGAGAAUACAGUUGAUUUGAUAAUAAUUUGGUAACAUAAACAUCAAACGGACUUUUAGGUAAUUUGUAAUAAUACUGUAGAAGGUAUUUUAUGUUGAGUGUACAGACAUUUUAAUUGUCUAACGUAAUUCUGACAACACUGUGGCGCUUGAGUGGGUUUGACAUUUCAUUUUGAGGGAGAAUGAAAGAGAUAGAAGAUUGAACGUUCGGCUUUGGUUGCGCUGUUUCCAGCUGUGGUUGAUGGGUUCGUUGAAAUAAUUCGAAGAGAACGGAUGUCAUUUUUGAGCUGCCCAAGGUAAUUCAAACUGAGUACUCCAUCCACAUUAGCGGUCUAUGCAACCACUCUCAUCCAGUGAAAUUGGAUCGUAAAAGCCUUAUCAGCGCUGGACCACGUUGGACGUUAUGCAAUUACUGCGUCAACUCGUCAAUUUAAUUUGUUUUACAGAAAUCUACUGCAAAACUCACCAGGAUGAACGUGUGUAAAAAAUGGCUCUUGAUGCAGGCCGGGCUGAAGGUGGUGUUGUCCGCCUCGAGGAACACCACGCAGACGAUGUCGUUGCCGAUGUGGCGCUU